rnacentral:rRNA from 1 species
UACGGAGGAUGCGAGCGUUAUCCGGAUUUAUUGGGUUUAAAGGGUGCGUAGGCGGUCCGUUAAGUCAGCGGUAAAAUUGCGGGGCUCAACCCCGUCAAGCCGUUGAAACUGGCAGACUUGAGUUGGCGAGAAGUACGCGGAAUGCGCGGUGUAGCGGUGAAAUGCAUAGAUAUCGCGCAGAACUCCGAUUGCGAAGGCAGCGUACCGGCGCCACACUGACGCUGAGGCACGAAAGCGUGGGGAUCGAACAGG